rnacentral:rRNA from 1 species
AUUGCCCUAGUAACGGCGAGUGAAGCGGCAACAGCUCAAAUUUGAAAUCUGCCUUCGGGCCGAGUUGUAAUUUGUAGAGGAAGCUUUUGGUGAGGCACCUUCUGAGUCCCCUGGAACGGGGCGCCAUAGAGGGUGAGAGCCCCGUAUAGUCGGAUGCCGAUCCAAUGUAAAGCUCCUUCGACGAGUCGAGUAGUUUGGGAAUGCUGCUCAAAAUGGGAGGUAAAUUUCUUCUAAAGCUAAAUACCGGCCAGAGACCGAUAGCGCACAAGUAGAGUGAUCGAAAGAUGAAAAGCACCUUGAAAAGGGGGUUAAAUAGCACGUGAAAUUGUUGAAAGGGAAGCGUUUGCGGCCAGACUUGCGCCGCCCCGAUCAUCCGGUGUUCUCACCGGUGCACUCGGGGCGGCGCAGGCCAGCAUCGGUUUCGGCGGGGGGAUAAAGGCCCGGGGAACGUGGCUCCUUCGGGAGUGUUAUAGCCCCGGGCGUAAUGCCCUCGCCGGGACCGAGGUUCGCGCAUCUGCAAGGAUGCUGGCGUAAUGGCCGCCAACGACCCGUCUUGAAACACGGACCAAGGAGUCAAGGUUUUGCGCGAGUGUUUGGGUGUAAAACCCGCACGCGUAAUGAAAGUGAACGUAGGUGAGAGCUUCGGCGCAUCAUCGACCGAUCCUGAUGUAUUCGGAUGGAUUUGAGUAAGAGCGUUAAGCCUUGGACCCGAAAGAUGGUGAACUAUGCUUGGAUAGGGUGAAGCCAGAGGAAACUCUGGUGGAGGCUCGCAGCGGUUCUGACGUGCAAAUCGAUCGUCAAAUCUGAGCAUGGGGGCGAAAGACUA